CGGCAUGCCUAAGACAUGCAAGUCGAACGAAGCGGCCCACUGACUUAUAUUGAUACUUGAGAGCUUGCUCGAUGAGAGGAUUUAUAAUGACGUGGAUUUCCGCUUAGUGGCAAACGGGUGAGUAACACGUGGGUUACCUACCUCUAUGUUGGGGAUACCAAUUGGAAACGAUUGUUAAUACCGAAUAUGAUCUGAGGAUUAAAGAAGCCUUUAAAGCUUCGCGUAGAGAUGGGCCUGCGGCGUAUUAGCUUGUUGGUGGGGUAACGGCCUACCAAGGCAACGAUGCGUAGCCGAACUGAGAGGUUAAUCGGCCACACUGGGACUGAGACACGGCCCAGACUCCUACGGGAGACAGCAGUUAGGAAUAUUCGUCAAUGGGGGAAACCCUGAACGAGCAAUGCCGCGUGAGUUGAUGACGGCCCUAUGGGUUGUAAAACUCUGUUGUUUGGAAAGAAUUGUAAGAUUAGGAAAUGAGUCUUACUUGACGGUACCAUUCAAGAAAGCCACGGCUAACUACGUGCCAGCCGCCGC
rnacentral:rRNA from 1 species